UGGAUGGACCUCGUGUCGGCUGCCCUCUGCGUCGUACCGUACCCCGCGGUCCUGCUGGUCCUAAUUACGCGCUAACGGUGGCAGCGCUUGACGAAGUUGCACGCUAUGCGUGUUCCAGCCUUACGUCCGACUCUGGAAGAGCUAUGGCUUCAUCCCCCCCAGGCCUGCAAAAUGUGAGGCACGCUUCGAGAGACUUUGUUGCUCCUUCUCGGCAGUUCAUCGCCCUCCUUUCCGAACUCCCGGAUUGUAUGCGACGGCCAGCUGGCAUUCCAGCCCUUGGGGCAUCCCGGUUAAGCCAGCGCAGUGUAUAAGUCGCAAGUAGUGCCGGCCGAAUACUUGUUCUUUUGUUUGUGCGCGUUCCCACUCGUCGGCGACGCCUGGACAAUGAACUGUGGAGGAGCAACUCUGAGCGUGGCUGUUAACGGAGGACCUGCGCAGCAACCCCUGGAUACGGCGAGCGUCGUCACGGCGAGCUUCCAGACGUCGAGCGUCGUUAGCGCUCACCAGUUAAGUCCUAUAGAUGGUCCCCAAGCUGGCGAGGGUGGCGCACGCCUUAGCGAAGUUAACCGUUUCUUGAGUUCCACUAGUUAGCGCUCGCUAGGAUUGUAAAGCUACAUUUGGAAAUUACGUAAAGUUAGUUUUGUUGCUUAACUGUAAGCCCGAGGAGUUUCGUGGGCAUGGCUGCGGCCACAUGGGUCUCCUCCGUGCCGGAAUCGAAGAGGACGGGCCACCGUGUUCGGGGUGGCGGCGUGUGUAGCUUCAGGCUUAGCUGACACAAGGCUUAGCUCACACUAGGCAGGCUAGCUGAUAGCCGUCCUCUUUCGACUGCGUCAGGGACAUGGACCCGUUCCGAAUUGCACUGCGACCCGACCACUAUUUCGUGACAAGGUAGCCCGGGCGCGUCAGUGCUAUCGAGCGAAAUGUGGAAUCGGGGGAGCACUCGGAAUUACCUCGCCAGCUUUUAGCUACUAAUCAUGCUUAAUGCAGCCCUCCACGCCGGACGUCGCCUUCGGUCCUCAUCGGAGCUCGGCCGGACAGCAGCGACAAGCAUCACUCGUGCCGCGUCCUGCCGUGUUCCCUCGUCGGUGUGGUCUUGCUGGCAGGCGAGACCUUGGUCAUCGCCCUGAACUACAACGGGAUCCCAACGUUUGCUUUUGAUUGUGGCCCACGAAUAGGAAGGAUAUCCAGUGUGCUGCUCCACGUUUGCCAUCCCCCCAACGUCCUCCCACAGGAGAUGGCCUUGAGCACAGCGUCCUCCCGGCUGACGGGACUUCGUUUGGAGCCCUGCUACUUCUGAGUCUUGACCUCUGCUUUCGGUUGCGGCCCACGAGUAGGAUAUCCAGUGUUCCGCUCCACGUCAGCCAUCCUCCCAACGUCCCACAGGAGAUGGCCCUGAGCACCAGUUGUACCGUGGCCGACCACGCUCCAUCGCCGGUGUGCGGUCUUGCUGGCAGACUAUACUGCUCAUCACCCUGCACCACUACGUGAUCCCAACGUCUGCUUUCGAUUGCGGCCUACGAGUCGGAAGGGCAUCAGUGUACUGCUCCUUGCCAUCCUCCCAACGUCCCACAGGAGAUCGCCUUGAGCACCACUCGCACCGUGGCAGACCGUGCUUGUUACAUUGCAUUCCCUCACCGAUGGCGUCCUCCAGGCAGACGGGUCUUGCUCCUACUACUGGAGUUCGUUUUCGAUGGCGGUGCACUAGGACAUUCCAGGCAGUGUUUCCAAAAGAUAUCAUAUUAAGCAGCCAUCGUCCCAUGGCUGUCCACCUGAGCACAUAGGCCGACAACUAUGGACAUCGAAGUCUGAGCGUGGCCACUAACCGAGGACCUGCGGAGCAACUCCUCGUCACAGCGAGCUUGUUUCUGCGCAACGAGCUUAAAUGCUCAACAAGUAAGAUAGAUGCUAGGUGUUCUCCAAGCUGGCGAGGGUGGCGCACGCUUGUGACAAGUUAGCUGUGAGUUGAGUGUAGCUGUAUUCAAAAAUUAUGCAAGCUUAGUUAAGAUGAUUAAUUAUAAGCCCGAAAGUUUGUGGGCACAGCUGCGGCCACAUCGGGUCUUCUCCGUGACGGAAUCGAAGAGGACGGACCACGCCCGUGGUGGCGACGCGUGUAGCUUCAGGCUUAGCGAAUUGCGGGCAGGCUUAGCUGACAGCCGUCCUCUAUCGAUUGCGCCAGGGACAUUAACCCGUUCUGCAUGUCCUUGCGACCCGACCACUAUUUCGUGACAAGGUAGCCCGGGCGCGUCAGUGCUAUCGAGCGAAAUGUGGAUUCGCGGAAGCAAACGACAUCCGGAAUUGCCUCGCCAGCUUUAGCUAUCGCGGCAUAGGACGUCGACUUGGGUCUGCAGCGGAGCUCGGCCCUGCAGCAGCUAAUGUGAGUGGUCCAUUUCGUUGAAAUUUCAGCUGUUCGUUUUUGGUGUUUACGCUCCUCCCUUCGUUGCAGAGGAUCACCUUGUGAACCGUCGCCGACCGUGCUGGCUUCUUCGCAUUCCUUCGCAGGUGGUCUUGCUGGUGGACGAUACUUUGUUCCUCGCCCGGCACUACUCCUGGCAAGUACCUUGAACACCCGAAUAGUAUUAUACCCGUGUUCUCGAGUGCUUAUAAGCCCAAUGUGAUUUCAGGUUCCGACCGUCUGCUUUCUAUUGCGGCUAUUCACAAGGAUAUCCGGCGCGCUUCUGCACAUUCUAGUAUCCGGCCUACGCUAGAGACGCAUUUGAGCUCUACUCGUCCUAUAUGGCCGGCCGUGUACAUAUACAUUUUCUCUCCUGUGGCUUCCUGCAGGGAGACUCGGUGUUGUUCGCCUCCCUGCGCUAGUUCUGGCAAGAACGAUGUAAUCUUCUGUUGCACUACGGAUGUGUUCUCGCGUGGUUUCUCAAACCUGUGGCAUUUCAGAUUCCGAACGCCUGCUAUUGAAUUAAGUGUUUUCAGAAGAUGGAGCUUUUCCAAUGAACGCUCUUGUUCGUGUUCUCUCUGCUGUUUUCCUUCAUUCUGUUGCUACACCUUCACGGGGCCGCACUGAAACUUUGUGGGCUCCAGAAGAAACUUGCUGACGGCUGCCUUUAUUAUGCAGACCCUCGAGGUUUGGUUUAUGCUUGGGAAAACUUCCUUCGCCACGCAAAUUUUCCAAAAAGCUCUUAAAUGUCGCUCUCCACCUAAGACACCUUCAGUUCCUGGUGAUAUUUCAGAGCUGGUUUCAUUUUCGCGCCCCUAAUUUGUUUCUUGUACACCGAGGGC